UUUUAACUAUUUUGAAAUAAGGUUUUGAUUUUUUAGAAAAUUAAUUUUUUUUCUAAAUAAAACUUUGAUUUUGCAAAAAUAAAAAAUAAAAAAAUAAAAAUUCCGGCCACCGUACGUGGCGGCUGCACCACCGAGGCCGGAGAGCCCAACGGCUCUCCGAUGGUAGAGCCAUAGCCAACAUAGAAGUUGGAAGAAAAAGAGGAAGAUGUUUUUUUUUUGAAAAACAAUGAGUUUAAAAUGAAAGAAUGAAUAUUUUUUUUCAUUUAUAGGUGCUAAAAAUGAGUAAUUUAUUCUCACCCCUUACUUUUUAAAUUUUAAAAAAAAAUCCCUUUUUUAUAGCACCACCCUUGCUCACUGACCUAUUUACACCCGUAACCCUUUUAUUUAUUUAAACAUUCGAUUUAAUUCAAAAUUUAAAAAUUAAAAGCAAAUAAAUUGCUACAUCAGUCCUCUGUCUUCAACAUUUUUUAUCUUUUUGUCCUAAAAUCAAGCUAUGUCAUUUUGUUUCCAUCUUUAAUAAAUAAUUUACACUUAUAUCUUCCAUUUCACUUGCAUUUAUACAUUAUAUAUUUAAUGUUAAUUAUGCACUUUAUUUUAAUGUUUUCU
rnacentral:lncRNA from 1 species